GGAAGGAUCAUUAUUGAAUGAAACUUGGUGUGGUUGUCGCUGGCCCUCUCGGGGGCAUGUGCACACUCACCAUCCUCAUCUCUCCACCUGUGCACCUCUUGUAGACUUGGAUUGACUUUCCGAGGCCACUCGGUCGGGAGGUCUGCUGGCACCUAGCUAGCUUUCCUUGCAUUUCCAGGUCUACGUUUUUCAUAUACCCCAAUUGUAUGUAACAGAAUGCAUCAUUAGGCCCUUGUGCCUAUAAACUUUAUACAACUUUCAGCAACGGAUCUCUUGGCUCUCGCAUCGAUGAAGAACGCAGCGAAAUGCGAUAAGUAAUGUGAAUUGCAGAAUUCAGUGAAUCAUCGAAUCUUUGAACGCACCUUGCGCUCCUUGGUAUUCCGAGGAGCAUGCCUGUUUGAGUGUCAUUAAAUUCUCAACCUUUAUCAGCUUUUGUUGAUAA
rnacentral:misc_RNA from 1 species